rnacentral:lncRNA from 1 species
UAAUAUUGUAACAAUUUUUCUUUGUUAAUUAAAUAAUUUUUAGUAUCAAUGUAUCAUGUUUAUCACUAAAUUUUAAAUUUUAAAAGUGAAAAUUACUAUUAAAUAGACUUUUACAAUUAUAUUUUGUAAGGAUUGUUUUAAAAAAAAAAAAAGAAAACAAAAUCUUAUUUGGUCAAAAUUAAAAAAAGGAAUAUUUUUUUUUCACAAAUCUCUUUUAUUUAGGGUUUUAGGAAAAAUAAAGUUAUUUUCACAUAAUGGCCG